GGCGCCGUACCCAAGUGGUAAGGGAGAGGUCUGCAAAACCUCGAUGCAGCGGUUCGAAUCCGCUCGGCGCCU
rnacentral:tRNA from 1 species